rnacentral:rRNA from 1 species
UACGAAGGGGGCUAGCGUUGUUCGGAAUUACUGGGCGUAAAGGGCAUGUAGGCGGUUUGAUAAAUUAGGAGUGAAAUGCCUGGGCUUAACCCGGGAACUGCUUUUAAGACUGUCAGACUUGAAUCCGUGAGAGGACAGUGGAAUUUCCAGUGUAGAGGUGAAAUUCGUAGAUAUUGGAAAGAACACCAGUGGCGAAGGCGACUGUCUGGCGCGGUAUUGACGCUGAGAUGCGAAAGCGUGGGGAGCAAAC